AUUCCUUAUAAACGCACUUUAACAAUUGUCUAUGGAUGAUAACUAUGAUUUGAACGCACAUCCUAACUUUUUUUUUGACAUUUGUCAUCUGUCAUCUGUCAAAUUAUCAAUCUAUUGACACUGACAGGUCGGCUUUCAUAAUUAGGUAUUUGUUAAAUUUGUUUAUUGUUUUAUUGAAUUCAACGCAGUGAUAUUUGCCUACGGAUACCAACGCCAAGGCCCACGGAUGGAGAGGUCGCCAGUGGUGCCUUAAUAAGUGGAAGGAACUAGCCAAGCUCAAUAGCGAAGGGACGGGACAAGGAGUGAUAAGCAAAGGAGAAAAUUAAACAUGAAACAUAACAUUAAACAUAAAAGGUUGUCAUGACAGAUUAUCCCCUCGUCUCUCAAUGAUUUCCUAAUACCUAGGUAUGGAGUGAUUAUAAGAAUAAUACAAAGAGAAAAUGCUCCCAAAUUGCCUAAGGGGGCACAGUGAAUGGUUGAUGGUUCAGCCCUAAAAUGGAUAUGUCAGAU